rnacentral:rRNA from 1 species
GACUCUCUACAAAGGAUAUUUCGACUCUCGCAUCUAUGAAGAAUGUAACAAAAUGUGAUAUCCCGUGAACCAUCGAGUCUUUGAACGUAAUUUACGUCCGAUGCCAUUAGGCCGAGGGCAUGUCUGUCUAGGCGUCA